GGCAAGUCUGGUGCCAGCAGCCGCGGUAAUUCCAGCUCCAUAGCGUAUAUUAAAGUUGUUGCAGUUAAAAGACUCGUAGUUGAAUGUCUGGCUUCUGAAUGUCUCGGCUCCGGUCGGGCAUUCAGUGGUCAUCCGCAUACGAAACUAGUUCGGCCUUUACUGGUUCGGCUGGGGGAGUGUGCCGUGUCGUGUUUGUCAUCCUUCCAGAAAGCUGCGUCUACCAUUUACUUGGCCGGACGUACGUGAUCUGGAUCGAUUACUUUGAAAAAUUAGAGUGUUUAAAGCAGGCUUAUGCUGUGAAUACAUUAGCAUGGAAUAAU
rnacentral:rRNA from 1 species